GCAAGUCGAACGAGAAAGUCACUUCGGUGGCGAGUAGAGUGGCGCACGGGUGAGUAACACGUAGGUGACCUGCCUUUUAGUGGGGGAUAACCAGAAGAAAUUUUGGCUAAUACCGCAUAAGCACAACUAGUUUGGAUACGGUUGUGGAAAGCAUGCCUCUGUAUAUGCAUGUACUGAAAGAUGGGCCUGCGGUGCAUUAGCUUGAUGGUGGGGUAAUGGCCUACCAUGGCUACGAUGUAUAGCCGGAUUGAGAGAUUGAUC
rnacentral:rRNA from 1 species